rnacentral:rRNA from 1 species
GGUGACCUGCGGAAGGNCAUUACAUGAUAGUACAGGCCCGAAGCUGUAGCAAUACACGCCCAAAGGCUCAUGUCUAUUACCCUUGUUUAUCGAGCACCUAUGUUUCCUUGGUGGGCUUGCCCGCCAAUAGGACACCCCAUUAACCCAUUUUAUUUUGAAUCAGCGUCUGAAUAAAUUGAAUAAUUACAACUUUCAACAACGGAUCUCUUGGUUCUGGCAUCGAUGAAGAACGCAGCGAAAUGCGAUAAGUAGUGUGAAUUGCAGAAUUCAGUGAAUCAUCGAAUCUUUGAACGCACAUUGCGCCCCUUGGUAUUCCAUGGGGCAUGCCUGUUCGAGCGUCAUUUGUACCUUCAAGCUAUGCUUGGUGUUGGGUGUUUGUCCUCUCCCCUGCGUUUGGACUCGCCUUAAAGUCAUUGGCAGCCUGUAUAUUGGUUUUGAGCGCAGCACAUUUUGCGUCUUGCAUCUAGUAAUACUAGCAUCCAUCAAGCCCAUUAUCACUUUUGACCUCGGAUCAGGUAGGGAUACCCGCUGAACUUAAGCAUAUCAAUAAGCGGAGGAAAAGAAACCAACAGGGAUUGCCCUAGUAACGGCGAGUGAAGCGGCAACAGCUCAAAUUUGAAAUCUGGCUCUUUCAGGGUCCGAGUUGUAAUUUGCAGAGGGCGCUUUGGCGUUGGCAGCGGUCCAAGUUCUUUGGAACAGGACGUCACAGAGGGUGAGAAUCCCGUACGUGGUCGCUAGACUUCGCCGUGUAAAGCCCCUUCGACGAGUCGAGUUGUUUGGGAAUGCAGCUC